AACGCUAGCUACAGGCUUAACACAUGCAAGUCGAGGGGCAGCAUGGUCUUAGCUUGCUAAGGCCGAUGGCGACCGGCGCGCGGGUGAGUAACACGUAUCCAACCUGCCGUCUACUCUUGGACAGCCUUCUGAAAGGAAGAUUAAUACAAGAUGGCAUCAUGAGUCCGCAUGUUCACAUGAUUAAAGGUAUUCCGGUAGACGAUGGGGAUGCGUUCCAUUAGAUAGUAGGCGGGGUAACGGCUCACCUAGUCUUCGAUGGAUAGGGGUUCUGAGAGGAAGGUCCCCCACAUUGGAACUGAGACACGGUCCAAACUCCUACGGGAGGCAGCAGUGAGGAAUAUUGGUCAAUGGGCGAGAGCCUGAACCAGCCAAGUAGCGUGAAGGAUGACUGCCCUAUGGGUUGUAAACUUCUUUUAUAAAGGAAUAAAGUCGGGUAUGGAUACCCGUUUGCAUGUACUUUAUGAAUAAGGAUCGGCUAACUCCGUGCCAGCAGCCGCGGUAAUACGGAGGAUCCGAGCGUUAUCCGGAUUUAUUGGGUUUAAAGGGAGCGUAGAUGGAUAUUUAAGUCAGUUGUGAAAGUUUGCGGCUCAACCGUAAAAUUGCAGUUGAUACUGGAUAUCUUGAGUGCAGUUGAGGCAGGCGGAAUUCGUGGUGUAGCGGUGAAAUGCUUAGAUAUCACGAAGAACUCCGAUUG
rnacentral:rRNA from 1 species